rnacentral:rRNA from 1 species
GACGAACGCUGGCGGCGUGCUUAACACAUGCAAGUCGAACGGAAAGGCCCUGCUUUUGUGGGGUGCUCGAGUGGCGAACGGGUGAGUAACACGUGAGUAACCUGCCCUUGACUUUGGGAUAACUUCAGGAAACUGGGGCUAAUACCGGAUAGGAGCUCCUGCUGCAUGGUGGGGGUUGGAAAGUUUCGGCGGUUGGGGAUGGACUCGCGGCUUAUCAGCUUGUUGGUGGGGUAGUGGCUUACCAAGGCUUUGACGGGUAGCCGGCCUGAGAGGGUGACCGGCCACAUUGGGACUGAGAUACGGCCUAGACUCCUACGGGAGGCAGCAGUGGGGAAUAUUGCACAAUGGGCGGAAGCCUGAUGCAGCAACGCCGCGUGCGGGAUGACGGCCUUCGGGUUGUAAACCGCGUUCGCCUGUGACGAAGCGUGAGUGACGGUAAUGGGUAAAGAAGCACCGGCUAACUACGUG